rnacentral:rRNA from 1 species
AACGAACGCUGGCGGCAGGCCUAACACAUGCAAGUCGAACGGUUGUAGCAAUACAGCAGUGGCGCACGGGUGAGUAACGCGUGGGAACAUACCUUAGAGUUCGGAAUAACCUCGGGAAACUGAGGCUAAUACCGGAUAUUCUCUCCGGAGGAAAGAUUUAUCGCUCCAAGAUUGGCCCGCGUCAGAUUAGCUAGUUGGUGAGGUAAUGGCUCACCAAGGCUCCGAUCUGUAGCUGGUCUGAGAGGACGACCAGCCACACUGGAACUGAGACACGGUCCAGACUCCUACGGGAGGCAGCAGUGGGGAAUAUUGGACAAUGGGCGAAAGCCUGAUCCAGCCAUGCCGCGUGAAUGAUGAAGGCCUUAGGGUUGUAAAGUUCUUUUGCCAGGGAAGAUAAUGACGGUACCUGGAGAAUAAGCACCGGCUAACUUCGUGCCAGCAGCCGCAGUAA